rnacentral:rRNA from 1 species
UACGGGGGGGGCAAGCGUUGUUCGGAAUUACUGGGCGUAAAGGGCGCGUAGGCGGCCUGCUAAGUCGGAUGUGAAAUCCCUCGGCUCAACCGAGGAACUGCAUCCGAUACUGGCGGGCUUGAAUCCGGGAGAGGGAUGUGGAAUUCCAGGUGUAGCGGUGAAAUGCGUAGAUAUCUGGAGGAACACCGGUGGCGAAGGCGGCAUCCUGGACCGGUAUGACGCUGAGGCGCGAAAGCUAGGGGAGCAAACGGG